rnacentral:rRNA from 1 species
ACUGCCUGCCCAGUGACAUCUGUUCAACGGCCGCGGUAUUAUGACCGUGCAAAGGUAGCGUAAUCACUUGUCUUUUAAAUAAAGACCAGUAUGAAUGGCAAAACGAAAACUCAACUGUCUCCUCAGACAAGUCAGUGAAAUUGAUUUCCCCGUGAAGAAGCAGGGAUAAUAAUAUAAGACGAGAAGACCCUAUGGAGCUUUAAACCAAAACUACCCACGCUCUUAAAACUUUAAAAAGUGGAAUUAGCUAUAGGUUUUAGGUUGGGGCGACCGCGGAGUAAAAAUUAACCUCCGAGAAAGAAUUAAGAAGAACACUUCAAAAAAUAAUAAUGUUAACACAUUUGACCCAACAAUUGAUCAACGAACCAAGUUACCCUAGGGAUAACAGCGCAAUCCUCUCAGAGAGUCCCUAUCGACGAGAGGGUUUACGACCUCGAUGUUGGAUCAGGACUCCCAAAUGGUGCAAAAGCUAUUAAAGG